UACGUAGGGCGCAAGCGUUAUUCGGAAUUACUGGGCGUAAAGCGUGCGUAGGCGGUCCGCUAAGUCUGAUGUGAAAGCCCCGGGCUCAACCUGGGAACUGCAUUGGAAACUAACGGGCUCGAGUGUGGGAGAGGGGGGUGGAAUUCCAGGUGUAGCAGUGAAAUGCGUAGAGAUGUGGAGGAACACCGGUGGCGAAGGCGGCCCCCUGGACUAACACUGACGCUGAGGCACGAAAGCGUGGGGAGCAAACAGG
rnacentral:rRNA from 1 species